CGCCACCAGCUAGCCCAUUAAAUAUACGAAUCCCUAUCACAACUAUAAACUAAAACAUUUAAUAAACUAAGUAUGAGAGACAGAAAAGCAAUAAUGACGCAAUAGUAAAACAGUACCGUAAGGGAUCAAUGAAAAAUAAAUUAAAUAAUUACAGCACUAUAUAGCAAGGAUAAAACCCUGUACCUUUUGCAUCAUGGUUUAGCAAGUAAUAACAGAUAUAGAGUACUGUAAUCUGACCACCCGAAACCAGACGAGCUACCUUACAGCAAUCCAAAGGAUAAACCCAUCUCUGUGGCAAAAGAGUGGGAAGACUAUAAGAUAGAGGUGAAACGCCUAACGAGCCUGGUGAUAGCUGGUUGCUCAUAAAAUGAAUUUAAGUUCAACUGCAGAGCCAAUUAAACUGUAUAAAAACAGCCACAACACCCCUGCAAGCUAUACAAUAAGGGUACAGCCUUAUUGUAACUGGGUACAACCAGAACUAGAGGGACACACCAACAAUAGCAUAAUAAUAUUAGUAGACCUUAAAGCAGCCAACAAAAAAGACCGCGUCACAGCGCAAAUACACAUAUAAUCCAAACAAACACCUAUACCCCCUAUUAACAGACUGAGCUACCCUAAUUACAACUAGGGGAAACACUACUAAAACUAGUAAUAAGAACAAAUUCUCUAUCUGGCACAGCUUCAACUCAGAACUAGAUAAUCUACUGAAAACUAACAGCCCACAAAACUGGACAAACCACGAAUACCAAGACAACUGCAAACAUAAAAACUGUUAUACCAACACAGGCGUGCUAAAAAGACCGAUUAAAAACCAUAAAAGGAACUCAGCUAAUAUGCCCCAACUGUUUACCAAAAACAUAGCCUUUAGCCAAUUCAAGUAUUAAAGGUAAUGCCUGCCCAGUGACAUCUUUAACGGCCGCGGUAUCCUAACCGUGCAAAGGUAGCGUAAUCAUUUGUCCCCUAAAUAGGGACUGGUAUGAACGGCUAAAUGAGGACAUAACUGUCUCCUAUGGUUAAUCAAUGAACCUGAUCUUCCAGUACAAAAGCUGGAAUACACACAUAAGACCGAGAAGACCCCUGUGGAGCUUUAAAACAAUAACACCACUAAAAACCAAAAACCUACAGGCCACACCUCAACAUAUUAUGGUGCUCGUUUUCCGUUGGGGCGACGUCGGAAUAAAACCAAACUUCCGAGCCACAGAUUAACACCUAAUUAAGACCUACAAGUCAAAAUAAUAAACAACUUGACCCAGUAUUACUGAUCAUCGAACCAAGUUACCCCAGGGAUAACAGCGCCAUCCUCUUUAAGAGCCCCUAUCGCCAAGAGGGUUUACGACCUCGAUGUUGGAUCAGGACACCCAGGUGGUGCAGCCGCUACCAAAGGUUCGUUUGUUCAACGAUUAACUAGUCCUACGUG
rnacentral:rRNA from 1 species